GGGCUUGGUUUAGCAGCACAUUUACUACAACUGGAACAAUACAGAGAAGAUUAGCAUGGCCCCUGUGCAAAUGAAAUUUGUGAGAAUAACCAGAGCACAGUACAU